rnacentral:rRNA from 1 species
CAAUUAAAUGAUGUCAGUGCAUAUUGACAGCAGGAGGGUGGCCAUGGAAGUUGGAAUCCACUAAGGAGUGUGUUACAACUCACCUGCCGAAUGUACUGGCUCAGAAAAUUGAUAGCUAACCAGUAGCAACUAAUUCUCGACGCUAAGUAAGAGAGCGCGAUGAUUGGACAGAAGCUAGAGCGUGAGCCCUAGUUGACCGGUCAUUAUUGCAGAUCUCGGUGGUAGUAGCACUUGCUAAAAUGGAACCUUUUAGGACCACUUGGACGAAGGUUCCACGACAACAGCAAAUGUUCGUGGGUAAGUCGGCCUUAAUCGUGUAGUCGAGAAAAGCAACCAGGUUAAUAUUCCUGGACAACAUAGGAGUACGGUGACGUCAACGCGGGUAUUUGUCAGGUGUUGGAAGGAGGGGAAAACUCUUUCCUUUUAACAGAUGGACGCCUCUGGAACUGUGUGAAACAGAGAUAGAGGCAGACACUGGAAUAACUACCUUCUAUGGGUAGUCCUAAGCCAGCACUUGACCUAUGAAAAAUAUCUGCGUCUUAUGAUGUAGCCGUACCAAUAGCCGCAUCAGGUCUCCGAGACGUAAAGUCUUUGGUUCAAUGGAUGAAUGUAAGCAAGGGAAGUCGACAAGUUCGAUCCGUAACUUCGGGAAAAGGAUUGGCUUCGUGGACUUAGUGAGGCACAACUACAUAUGCGAGGAAUGUGACUCUUACGAGUUGCCCCUCUGCAUGUGCUAGUAACCUCACUAAACAAUACAUGAAACUGACGCGCAAACGAGGAAUCUGACUGUUUAAUCGAAACGUAGCAUCAUGCAGCGUGGUGUGGACAUGAUGUGAUUUCUGCUCAGUGCUUUGAAAGUUAAAGUUGAGCAACCGACAGAAGCGCAGGUCAACAGCGGGAGUAACUAUGACUCUCUUAAGGUAGCCAAAUGCCUCGUCAUCUAAUUAGUGACGUGCAUGAAUGGAGCAACGAGAUUCCUACUGUCCCUGUUUACUAUUCAGCGAAACCACAGCCAAGGGAACGGGCUUGGUACAAACAGCGGGGAAAGAAGACCCUGUUGAGCUUGACUCUAGUCUGGAUCGGUUUGGCGACUUGUUAGGUGUAGAAUAGGUGGGAGAAUUUCGCCAAUGAAAUACCACUACUAACACAGUUUCUGAACCCACGAUGUUAGUGCACCAUCAAAAUGCAUGUACAUCGGCAAAUUCAGAUCGGGAGUUUGGCUGGGGCGGCACAUCUGUUAAAAGAUAACGCAGGUGUCCUAAGACGAGCUCAGGCAGAUCAGAAAUCUGCCGUAGACUGACAGGAUAAAAACUCGCGUGAUUGUAGUCUCCAGUACGGACUACCAAUGCUAACGCAUGGCCUAUCGAUCCUUCACGGUUGAAUUUUUCAGCUAGAGGUGUCAGAA